CCUACGGGGAGCAGCAGUGAGGAAUAUUGGUCAAUGGCCGGAAGGCUGAACCAGCCAUGCCGCGUGAAGGUCAGUGCCCUAUGGGCGUUAAACUUCUUUUGUGCGGGAGCAAUAAUGGUCACGUGUGGCCAGACGAGAGUACCGUACGAAUAAGCAUCGGCUAACUCCGUGCCAGCAGCCGCGGUAAUACGGGGGAUGCAAGCGUUAUCCGGAUUUAUUGGGUUUAAAGGGUGCGUAGGCUGUGAGGUAAGUCAGCGGUGAAAUGCCCCCGCUCAACGGGGUGAAGUGCCAUUGAUACUGCCUGGCUGGAAUGCGGAUGCCGUGGGAGGAAUGUGUGGUGUAGCGGUGAAAUGCAUAGAUAGCACACAGAACACCGAUUGCGAAGGCAUCUCACGAAUCCGCGAUUGACGCUGAUGCACGAAAGCGUGGGUAUCAAACAGGAUUAGAUACCCUUGUAGUC
rnacentral:rRNA from 1 species